ensembl:lncRNA
GGUCAACCUGCCUAUGUACCUGAACAAUGGUCAGGUGUCUGUCUACAGGAGUGGCUGGUAUGCUGUGGUCACAACCAGCUUUGGCCUUAACGUCUCCUUCGACUGGAACAGUGCAAUGUUUGUCACGCUGCCCUCCACCUACAGGUCGCUGCCUGUGGCAACUACAACACCCGGCCUCAAGAUGACCUUGUACCCAGGAACGAGACAACCCCUGCCAGGCCAGAGGACUUCGGGGCCAGUUGGUGCAUGGAGCAGAUCCCUGGCUGUGUCCACGGCUGUAUUGGGGCCUGUCCCAACUGAAGUCAACCAGAAGAGGUGGUUCUGAGGAACCCGACGGGGCCUUUCCAGGACUGCUUUGCCACAGUGAACCAGGUGGGAUACUUUGAGGACUGCGUGUAUGACGUGUGUUUGUAUAAGGGCAAGUGUCCAGCCCACAGCCACUGAGGUGUGUUUCUGGCUGUCCUGCCACUUGCCAGAGCCUGUCCCCUCCCUCAGGUUGCCUCGCCCAGUGUAACGAGGGCUUCUCCUGUAAUGAAGGACACAUCCUCAGCAGUGACCACUGUGUCCGCGUCGCCCAGUGUGGCUGUGUUCAUAGUGGCCGCUACUACAACACCAACCAGAUGUUCUACCCCAACCGGAAGUGUGAGUGGUGCAAGUGCACCCAGGAUGGAUAAGUAUAAAUAACUUAACUUUUAAUAGGAGUAUUUGUAUUGAGAUAUUACCUUGCUAUUUGCUGUAUAGAUGAAUGGCUGUACAGAAAUUCCAUUGUACUUGUCUUUUCAGUGAUGUUUCAGAAUAUCUGAUCAUCUGUAGGUGGAAUGCAAUAACUUCUCCUGCGGCCCCAACGAGAUGUGAGGUGGGGAAAGGGGUGUGCCACGUGUCCGGUGGCCCCCACUACACAUCUUUCGACAGGCUGGUGUAUGACUUCCAGGGCAUGUGUACCUACACCCUGGCCAAGGGCAAUGGUCUGGAGGGGACCCACCUGGUGGGCUUCUCUGUACAGGUGGAGAACGAGAAGUGUAACAAACAGUUGUCAUCAUGCAGGUGGCUCUGGAUGUGUACAACUACACCCUGGUCCUCAGUAAGAAUGUUAUGGGAGUCCUGGUAAGUAGGAGGGGGCUUGUUGGUUUCUGACUUUGAAUGAAUAAAACAUCCCCCAUCUUGCCUUCACAAGCCGUUUUCUGUUUGUGAUCAUUGGAGAAAAUCGGGUUGGCGCAUUUAUUCUUUAGCACAGUUUUGACAAGGUUUGACCACAAUACUGUUUAUCCUCCAACCAGGUGAAUGGAAUGUUCAACCACCUGCCUCUGAGUGGCGGGCAGUGCAGGUCUUCCAGGAGGGCUUCCACUAUAUCAUCACAACGGACUACGGCCUGCACGUCACCUAUGACACUUGCCCCUUGUCAAAUGAGGGCCCGCUAUGUGCGAGUGUCUGCACAGAAUCUUGUGUGUGUGUGUGAUGAGGGUUAUGUCCUCAGCGUUGGGCGUCUGUGCCUGCCAAACCCUGCGGCUGCUCCUCCCAGGGUCACUACUACAAGGCUGGUCAGCGCUUCUGGGCAGACCGUGUCUGUGUGAGUGUAACACCUCUCUGGGCAUGGUGAACUGCUUCGAGGCCUCCUGUUCGGCCAACGAGAAGUGCAGUCUGGUGGAUGGUAAACACUCCUGCCUACCACCCAGCACUUGCACCGCUGCAGGUGACUCUCAUUACCUUCGACGGCCACUGGUUUGACUACCAGGGUACUUGUGUGUACCAGCUGGUGGCGGUGUGCACCCAGAAGCCGGGCCUGGUGCCGUUCAAGGUGACAGUGCAGAAAUGUGGCCUACACGAAGAUUGUCAUCUACGGCGUCUCCCUCACCAUCAGCAGGGACUACCCCUUCAAGAUCCUGGGGAGUGUUACUGGAUAGGGACAGAUGUAUAGAGGGGGGUUAGUUAGUAUAUUUACAGGACUUUAUAAUUGUUUUUUAACACGUAGUUUAUUCUACUACUCAUGAUGCUGUUACAGCUAUUUUAAUUAAGCGGUCUAGUCCUUAAUCCUUGCAGAUUUAAUGAAAUUAUCGUUUAACUGGGAAUUACAAUGAAAAAAAUCUAUAGUCUCCCAUAUAAUUGUCCUUCCUCUUUCGUCUCGGUUGGAUGGACAGCUUGCGUCCCUGCCCCUGGAGCUGAAGAGUCAGCUGAUGGUGUUCCGCAGUGACCGAAGGGCGGUGGUGGAGACUGCUGCGGGCAUCAUGCUGACCUUUGACAAACUCCCCAGCACCUACCAGGGGGCAGUCUGCGGCCUGUGUGGCAACUACAACGCCAUGCCUCAGGUCGACCUCACUAUGCGUGACAGUCAACCUGCGCCCAACGCCACCUGUCUGUGUGUGAGCUGGCGGGUGGCCCUUGUGCCUGGUUGCUCCUCUGGAUGCUAGGGGACACAAUGCCAGUCCUGCUCGGACGCAGAGAAGAAUGCGUACAGCUCCCGCUGUGGCAUCAUAGCAGACAAAGCCGGCUCCUUCAAAGAGUGCCAUGGCGCCGUGGACCCUGCUCUGUACCUGGAGGACUGUUGUCGAUGCCUGUUAUAAUCAUGGUGACCAGGGGUCGGCGUGCGACGUGGUAGAGGCCUAAGUCUCUGCCUGUCAGAGCAAGGGGGUGACAGUCCAUUCCUGGAGGAGUGAUGGCUUCUGUCGUGAGUCGGCGUUACCUUACAUCAUAUGCCGUUUAGCAUACAUUUUUAUCCAAAGCCAUGUCCCCCUCGCUAAAUAAGUUUCUAACCUCUGGUCUCUUCCUGGUUCAAUAAAGGUUACUUAGUCAUGCAUGCGUAUAUUUUUCAUAUGGCUGGUCCUAGGAAUCAAACUCACAAUCCUGGUCUGGGGGGUGGAUCAGCUUUUAUAAUCCAGGUUGUGGCUUCUAGAAAUGUUUGCAUAACUUCCAAUCCUCAACAACUCAACCCUCUUUGUCCCACAGCUCUGUCCUGUCCAGCCAACGGCCACUAUAGCCUCUGUGCCCCAGGCUGCCCUGCCACCUGUACAAGCCUCUCCACAUGUCGCCAGUCCUGUUUUGAGAGCUGCCAGUGUGGCGAAGGCUACCUGCUGAGUGGUGACGCUUGUGUACCUGUGGCCCAGUGUGGCUGCUCUUACGGGGGGCGCUGCUACAGGAAGAGGGAGACCUUCUACCCCAGGGUCACUGUCUAGACCAGUGUACCUGUGGGAAAACUGGGCAAUCUCCUGCCGGAAGGCCAAGUGUGGUGCCGGGGAGGCCUGCAAGGUGGUAAACUGGGUGUUGGGGUGCCACCCAAUUGGACAGGCCACAUGUUUAGUGUCAGGUGACCUCCACUACAUGUCAUUCGAUGGCUACAGGUUUGACUUCCAGGACACCUGUCUAUACGCUGGCCAAGGUGUGCGAAGAUUAUAAAGGCAGACUGACUGGCUUCACCGUGACUCACGGGAAUGAUAUGUAUGGGAAGGUGGCGCUCAAUAACGUCAUCGCUGUGUCUGUCUACAGCUAUUCCAUCAGCAUUGUGCAGGGGACGAGCUGGAGAGUGAUUCGGCACUGGCGGCUCCUUGCAGACUGGCGGCACUGGCGGCGCUGGGCAGACUGGCGGCGCUGGGCAGACUGGCGGCACUGGCGGCGCUGGGCAGACAGGUGGCUCAGGCGGCACUGGGCAGACGGGUAGUCCAGAUGGCGCUGGGCAGACGGGUAGUUCAGAUGGCGCUGGGCAGACGGGUAGCUCAGAUGGCGCUGUGCAGACAGACGACUCUGAUGGCGCUGGGCAGACGGGAAGCUCCGGCAACGCUGGAGAGGAAGGCUCUGGCAGCGCUGGACUGAGUAGCUCUGGCGCCUCUGGAAUGAGGGGCUCUAGCGCCUCUGGACUGAGGGGCUCUAGCGCCUCUGGACUGAGGGGCGGGAGCUCUGGCAGCGCCAAACCGGCGGGAGACUCCGGCUGCGCUGGAGGGGAGGAAGGCUCUAGCAGCACCGGAGAGGCGGGACAAUGUGACCGAAUGAAUGACUUGAAUUUUAGAACUUCUGAAUCUUAUCUGAAUUAUCACAGGAGGGUCUGGUUGCUGUGGCAGUCUGGUAACCACCACAAUGGACAGAUGCAGAGACUUUAACUUUUUUUACAUGUCUCUGUGACAAGGGAACUGAAUGUCGCAGAGACAGUCUACAGACAUUCCGCCAGAGCAGUGGCAAUUUUGGAAUGUAAAUCUUGGUGGGGCUAAUUCACACAUUUUUGUUAGCUGCAUGCCUGCAAAGCCACUAUACAAUACAUUAAUUGCACUAGAACAUAAAGCUUUCCUUUCAGCACCAUAGUGAAUCCUUACCACCGCUACACCUGGAUAUCAGCGGAGCCUUGCCUGGCAGUGAGUUAAUUCAGCCUCAUUUACUGCCUUUUUCAACAACAAAAAACCUUUGACUUGCUUAAUUAAAUAUGGUGUUGUGUCUUUGGCUAUGCCGCAUUAAGUGAUAUGACUAUUCUAUAAAUCAUUUCUCUAAUACCUGAUUAACUUCUUGAUGCACCCAACCCGUUAGCGGGAUCAUUUGUCAACAUCCGCUGAAUUGCAGAGUGCCAAAUUCAAAUUAAAUUACAAAAAAUAUUACAUUUUCAUGAAAUCACAAGUGCAAUAUAGCAAAACAUAGCUUAGCUUGUUGUUAAUCCACCUGGCAUGUCAGAUUUCAAAAAAGCUUUUCGGUGAAAGCAUACCAAGCGUUUAUGUAAGAACAUCUCUCUCAGCAGACAAAACAUUAAACAGCUAGCAGCAAAGUAGGUUGGUCAGAAAAGCAAUAAAAUGAAUAGCUUACCUUUGAUCUUUGGAUGUUUGCACUCACGAAACUCCCAGUUACACAAAUGUUCCUUUUGUUCCAUAAAGAUUAUUUUUAUAUCCAAAAUACCUCCAUUUGUUUGGUGCGUUAUGUUCAGUAAUUCACAGGCUCGAGCGGUCACGAU